CUUUAUAAUCUGAGUUUUAUUUACUUCAGAGGCCAGGGUGUCCUGGUUAGGGAAAAACCUUCCACCCUCCCUCUUCCCAUUCCAGUAGCUUUAAGGCAAGAGCGCACCAACAGCACCUGGGCACACUGGGCAGCUUCUUACCUAAGUAAAUCCUGACUUGCAGGAUUUCCUGGGUGGGCAAGUCUGACCGAAAAGGGGCCUUCAAGAAUAUCCAAGGUCGGGCUGGGGAUUUAGCUCAGUGGUAGAGCGCUUACCUAGGAAGCGCAAGGCCCUGGGUUCGGUCCCCAGCUCCGAAAAAAAAAAAAAAGAACCAAAAAAAAAAAAAUAUCCAAGGUCGUAGGGGAAAGCUGCAAGAAUAUGGUGGUGCACGCCUGGUAACUCCAACAUUUGAGAGGCGGAGACAGGAGAAUAAAUUUAUCUUCCUCUCCAUUCGAGUUUGAUGAGCCAGCCUGAACUAAAUGAGACCCUGCCUGGGUUUUUGUUUUUGUUUGUUUUUGUUUUUGUUUGUUUAAAAAAUGUUUAAUUUAAAAAAAAAAAAGGAAGCUGGAGAGAGGCUCUUCGGUUAAGACCCCUAAAAGCUCUUAGUGUUCCUGGAGAACAUAUAGGUUCUAGUCCCAGCACCAACAUGGUGACCUACGAACGUCUGUAAUUCCAGCUCCACUGCCCUGUCUGUCUUCAAAUACAGGCACACAUGGAAUGUACACGCACAUACACGGCCGCUCCGUAUACAUAAAAUGUUCUAGUUAAACUCGUGGGAGCUGCUCUAUAAUCUCAUCGUCGGGUGUGCAGUCAUUGGCCUCGGCGGCCCACUCUGUCAUAAGAUGCUGCCUCCGCGUUGUUUCUAUCACUCUGAUUCCCCUCUUCCAGGAGUGAGAAAAUGCCCACUACACUUUUCUGGAAGGAGGGAAGGGGACAUCUUCUCCGAAACUGCUAAUGGCAAUGGUGUCUGUCCUAACGGUGCUCCCCUGGUGUGCCUCCACAUUUGCGGGUGGCCUUCUGUGAUGGAGUGUAUCCAGUUCCGGGAGCGACUAGCCUGGUGCGGGCGAGGUCCCAGGAUCUCAGGAUGGGUCGAUGGGUGCGGCUCCGUGUAGGCGCAGCAUCCCAAAGCACGGUCUCCUAGUGACCGCGGUGCGCGCUGACUCCGCCGUCCUGGUCCCAGCGACUGCGCAGCGCGAGCACCCCCGCGGCCCCUCCCCUGGGCGCGCGCGCGACCUGGGCGCCAUGGCGGCAGCGGUGGCGACCGUGCAGCGGCCUGUGGCUGAGACGAUCGAGGAGGCCUCAAAUCUUCAGUGGCCGCUGCCACCGGAGCAUCGCCCUUCCGGGGCAGCGACCAGACCAGGCGAUGGUGAAGAAGCACCGGUGCGGCCACUGUGCAAGCCACGGGGCAUCUGUUCCCGUGCCUACUUCUUGGUACUGAUGGUGUUCGUGCACCUGUACUUGGGCAAUGUGCUGGCCCUGCUGCUCUUCGUGCACUACAGCAACGGGGACGAAAGCACAGACCCGGGACCCCAGCGCCGUGAGCAGAGCCCCCAGCCAGUGCCAACCUUAGGUCCCCUCACCCGGCUGGAGGGCAUCAAGGUGGGAUAUGAGCGGAAAGUCCAGGUGGUCGCGGGCAGGGAUCACUUCAUCCGAACCCUCAGCCUCAAGCCAUUGCUCUUCGAAAUCCCAGGCUUCCUGAGUGACGAGGAGUGCCGCCUUAUCAUCCACCUGGCACAGAUGAAAGGGUUACAGCGAAGCCAGAUCCUGCCUACUGAGGAGUAUGAGGAGGCCAUGAGCGCCAUGCGAGUCAGCCAGCUGGACCUCUUCCAGCUGUUGGAUCAGAACCACGACGGUCGCCUGCAACUCCGAGAGGUGCUGGCCCAGACUCGCCUGGGAAAUGGACGGUGGAUGACUCCGGAGAACAUUCAGGAGAUGUACUCUGCUAUCAAGGCAGACCCCGAUGGUGACGGGCCCGAUGUGACAGAAACCAGGUUCAUCUGACCCGAGUCCAGGUGGGGACACAUGGCCCCCCAGUGCCUGAGGCCAGGGGCUGCCGCUACCUUUGGGGAGUGCUGAGUCUGCAGGAAUUUUCCAACAUGGACCUUCGAGACUUCCACAAGUACAUGAGGAGCCAUAAGGCAGAAUCCAGCGAGCUGGUGAGGAACAGCCACCACACAUGGCUCCACCAGGGCGAGGGAGCCCAUCA